rnacentral:rRNA from 1 species
UUGUAUAGCUUUGAGGCCUGGUUAGUACUUGGAUGGGAGACCGCCUGGGAAUACCAGGUGCUGUAAGCU